GAAAUCAUUAUUUAAUAUUCAUAUAUUAGUAAUUAAAUAGAAAAAUGAAGUUCCCAUCUCACUUUCACUCGUUAUAACCAAUAAGAACUUCUCCUUGGUAAGCUUAUGCAACCUUAGCAAUUGCACUUUAUAAGUCCAAUGAAUUCAAUUGAGUCACUCCAUGAUUUUCAGAGAAAUUUCUUCUACAACCAACUAUCAUACCAUGCUUUCAUGUUGCUCGCAAGAAGAGAAGUUCAAAUAAUCAUAUAUUUUAUUUUUAUUCUUUUUAGGUUAUUAUCUAUGUUUUGAAUCAGGUUGAAGAAUGGAAGAAGAAUCUCAUGAAGAGGAAACCAACCAUGAAGGUUCAAAUUAUGAUAUCAGAAGCUCUUAUCAUACACAAGCUCAUCAAUGGCUGCCUCAUGGGAGGGUGUCCUUUUGCUGAGCUUCUUCAUUCUUUUCUCUCCAUUUUCUCAUUAUUGUGUAUUUCUUUUCAUAAGUUUUCACUUCAUAACUUAAGAUGUUGGAAUGUGAGCAUUCCAUUUUUCUUCUCAAUGGUAAAGACAAGUUUCAAGUGUUUUUCAUUCUCUUCUCCACCCACAAUUUACUUUCACUUCAUAAUCUUAAAUUAUCUUUAAUCUCAAAUUUUAAUAAAUAUAAAAUUAUUUAAUACACAAAAAUAUCCUCUUACUUUUCCAUUAACAUGAGUAUUCCAACUUCAAUUUUGUUGAAAAAUAUUAAAAGUAAUAACCUUUUUAAGUUUAAUUUGCUUUAUUUGAACCUUUCAGAGUUGCUCGUAACACAUAAGUGGAACUAAGAGGUUGUUUGGCAACAAAACCUAUAACCUAACAAGUAAAAAUAAAUCAAAGUUAUAUUGCAAAAACAAUAUGAACAUAUGUGUGGCAUUCAUAUUAAUUAUAUCAUGAACGUACAAACUCUUACCCCAAAAAAAAAAAUUAAGGAACGUUGACUAAAAUUAAAUUAGUAACAGGUUACAAAUUUAAUUAAUUUUAGAAAAUUUGCAUGUUGUGUGUGCAGUUUCGAAAUCAUUUUUGGUCCAUCAGAGCAUCUUUUUAGCAUGUUGAAAUUGAAAUAAUAUUGCGUUCUCAGUUAAGCCUGCACGAUCAGAUUCCAUUCUUAUUAAUUUCAAAUUUCUACUUGUCGGUUGAAUGUAGUCUCAACACGCUACAUUAAUCCAUUUUCUCUUCUUCCAGAUCUUACACAAUCGUUUUUAAUUACAAUAAUUACUGUAUUAAUAAGAUGUAAUCUUUUAAUUACAAUAAUUACUAUAUUCGUAGGUUAUAUCAAUAACACGCAAAGAGGGAUCAUUCCGAUUAUUUAAAGCAUCUUCUGAAGAUAAGAGUAACAAGAAACCGUAAAAAAUCAAAUUUAAUAAAUUGAAGUUUCCAUUCACUUCUAUAUACUAUUAUUAUUAUUAGUUUAUAUAUAUAUUUAAAUAUAAAGAAAUUUAAAUUGAUUCAUCUAAUCAUAACAUAAAUUAAUUCAAUUUUCAAAUAUUUAAAAUUUUUAAAAUUUUUGAUAUUUCUCGUCCAAUCACUACAUAAAAUUUAUUUUAAACAUGUUCUAAUGUUUCAACCAAUCUCUUAAAUAGGUGUGCACGAUAUAUACGGUAUAAUUUUUUUUAUAAAAAAUUGAAUAUCUUACAUUAAUUAAAAAUUAAAAUAUUUUAUAAUAUAUAAGUAGUAUAAAUUUUAUGUUAUAAAUUGAUUUUAUAAGAUUGAAUUAAAUUUAAAAUUUAUUUUGAAAAAAAAUAUCAAAAUUAUUUAAAAUUUAAUUAUAAUAAUAAUUUAUUAGACUUAUAACUACUAGGAAUUUCUUAUAAAUAUAUAGUUUAACACACGAGUUUAACUUCGUGAACAGAGUUUAACUUCGUGAACAGAGUUACCGGUCUCAAAAUAAUUCAGAAUAAUUAAAGAAUGUGUUGGAUAUUUAAUAAACAAGAAAAAGAGGUACCAAAGAAAAUUGAUAUGAGGAGAUAUUAAUAUAAUUUACGCUAUUGCUAUUUAUGAAAACGCAGAAGAAGUUCAUCAUAAACUAACCAACUAGGAAAUUGUCAUUGAUUAUCCCAUGCUAAACCGCACCAACCCAAUUGUUUGCUCCUUCAUGGUCUCUGCUUUAGUGGAGAAAUGAGGGUAGCAGCUAAAGAAGAAGAAGGAGAAGAUGCAGAAGCAUGAGAAUGAGGUCAUGAAUGAUUCUUCUUCCACUCCUCAACCUGAUUCAAAAGUUAGAUGAUAAAACGGAGAAUAAUAACAAUGAAAUAAAUAGUUAUUUGAACCUCUCUUAUUGUGAGCAACAUGAAAGCAUGGAAUGAUACUUGGUUAUAAAAAACAUCUCUCUGAACAUAACGGAGAGAUUCUAAUGAAUUCAUUGUGCUUGCAAAAUGUAAUAUCUGAGGUUCAUAAGCUUAGAUUUUAUAUCUGUGUGUCAGCCACAACCACAAGUCUCAAUCUUUUUUUUU
rnacentral:lncRNA from 1 species